UGGCCCCAAAGCCGAAGCCACCGUGCACCUCAUCAUAGCCACCAGCCUCAACCCCAAUAUGGUUAUUAAAGUCCCCUCCAAUAACUAACUUCUCAGAUUGGGGAAUACUACCCACCAGAUCAUCCGAGUCCUCCCAAAAGCGCCUUUUAGCCUCCUCGUCUGAGCCUGCUUGCGGCGCGUAAGCGCUGAUGGCGUUGAGGACGCCACCCCCAAUAACCAGCUUAA
rnacentral:lncRNA from 1 species